AGCGAACGUUGGCGGCGUGCCUAACACAUGCAAGUCGAACGUGAAAGGGAGCAAUCCCCAGUAAAGUGGCGUACGGGUGAGUAACACGUAGGUAAUCUACCCCAGAAUCUGGAAUAACCGGCCGAAAGGCUGGCUAAUACUGGAUAGAGCGACGGAAUCCGUAAUUGGGUUUUUCGGGAAAGGGAGCCUGUAAAAAGGCCCUCGUUCUGGGAUGAGCCUGCGUCCCAUCAGCUAGUUGGUGAGGUAAAAGCUUACCAAGGCAAUGACGGGUAGCUGGUCUGAGAGGACGAUCAGCCACACUGGAACUGAAACACGGUCCAGACUCCUACGGGAGGCAGCAGUGGGGAAUCUUGCGCAAUGGACGAAAGUCUGACGCAGCAACGCCGCGUGAGUGAAGAAGGCCUUCGGGUUGUAAAGCUCUGUCGAGUGGGACGAAAAUGCUUGGAGUUCACAGCUCCAGGAACUGACGGUACCACUAAAGGAAGCACCGGCUAACUCCGUG
rnacentral:rRNA from 1 species